rnacentral:rRNA from 1 species
GAUGAACGCUAGCGGCGGGCUUAACACAUGCAAGUCGAGGGGUAGAGGCUUUCGGGCCUUGAGACCGGCGCACGGGUGCGUAACGCGUAUGCAAUCUGCCUUUCACAGAGGGAUAGCCCAGAGAAAUUUGGAUUAAUACCUCAUAGCAUUACAGAGUGGCAUCACUUUGUAAUUAAAGUCACAACGGUGAAAGAUGAGCAUGCGUCCCAUUAGCUAGUUGGUAAGGUAACGGCUUACCAAGGCAACGAUGGGUAGGGGUCCUGAGAGGGAGAUCCCCCACACUGGUACUGAGACACGGACCAGACUCCUACGGGAGGCAGCAGUGAGGAAUAUUGGUCAAUGGGCGCAAGCCUGAACCAGCCAUGCCGCGUGCAGGAUGACGGUCCUAUGGAUUGUAAACUGCUUUUGUACGGGAAGAAACACUCCUACGUGUAGGAGCUUGACGGUACCGUAAGAAUAAGGAUCGGCUAACUCCGUGCCAGCCGCCGCGGUAAAAC